rnacentral:rRNA from 1 species
GACGAACGCUGGCGGCGUGCUUAACACAUGCGAGUCGAACGGAAAGGCCCUGCUUGCAGGGUACUCGAGUGGCGAACGGGUGAGUAACACGUGGGUGAUCUGCCCUGCACUUCGGGAUAAGCCUGGGAAACUGGGUCUAAUACCGGAUAGGAGCCAUUUUUAGUGUGAUGGUUGGAAAGUUUUUUCGGUGUAGGAUGAGCUCGCGGCCUAUCAGCUUGUUGGUGGGGUAAUGGCCUACCAAGGCGGCGACGGGUAGCCGGCCUGAGAGGGUGGACGGCCACAUUGGGACUGAGAUACGGCCCAGACUCCUACGGGAGGCAGCAGUGGGGAAUAUUGCACAAUGGGCGCAAGCCUGAUGCAGCGACGCCGCGCGGGGGAUGACGGCCUUCGGGUUGUAAACUCCUUUCGCUAGGGACGAAGCUUUUUGUGACGGUACCUAGAUAAGAAGCACCGGCUAACUACGUG